GGUGGCCCGUUGUGGAAUCUAGAAAGGCUAACCUCAUAAUUGUGUAAACAACCUCAGUUAACGCGCUGUUUGUAUAACGCCUUCGCCUGAAGAUUAAGUGCAGCAAACGCUUUCAGUGGUCUUAAUGACUAAUAUGCCCUUUUGUGAAUACUGCAUGCACAUUUUCAUGAAAUGAACAGUUUCAAGUGACUUCAAAACAAGAAGGAGGUUCCCAAUUCUACAGCUUUUUUUUAAAGACUUAUGUUUGUUUCCUCAGAACGGUUUUCUAGACUUUGGUGAUUAUUUUUUUCUUAUCUGAAAGCUAGAGCUUCUCAUGUCCCACGUUCCAUUUAAAUUCUAUCAAGAUCUGACUAGUAGUUUUUAUUUGUAUUUUAAUUCACUUCUACUGCAUUGAUGAUAUUCCCAUUUUAUGUUCUUGAAGUCGGUUUCCUGUUUCGUUAAUUCAGCUAUAUACUGUUUAGCUAAUAUAUUGUUGUACAGUUUCAGUGUGCAUAGUAUAAGUAUUGUAUGUAUACUCUACCGCAGUAUAUAUUUAUAUCGCACAUACAGCAACCCUAUUCGAAGCUAAUUUCUACCCUAAAUUCGACCCUGCUUUUUAAAGAGACGCAUCUGAAUAGUUAAAAAAAUCAUUUCGAAUCCCACCUUCAACAAAUCACGACAGACACAUGUUGGUUCAUUGACUGACCGCUUUUAUUCAAGGCGUAUAUUUUCCUUUUCGCCUCGUCCUCUUUGAAAAUAAGUAGAAUUAGAUGAACUAGAACAUUUUAUAGUGCUACAGUCAACGAAAGACGUAUUAUAGUGACAAUGUCACCGGUUUAAUGCAGCAAGCAUGUGUCAAUAUUUUGAAAACCAUACAUUUAAGAAUGUUUCCGUAUAUAUUUUUUUCUAAUUUAAUUCACAAGUCGGUUCUCUUCUAGCGCGAUAAAUAACAAUAUCCAAGUUUAGUUACGUGUUUAAUCCUAAAUAUUAAAUUAUUGCAGACACACUGGUUUCAUUACGAAUAAAAUUGAAAAUGAUAUCCGGAAUAACUCAACAGAAACUGUACAGUUUCAGAGCAUCUCUAUGUUCUGUUUUCAAUUUAUCCACGUCCCAAACGGCUGAUGGCUUCAAAUUUAAAAACAAAACCCAGAGACAUGCGGAAAGGUUCGCGGUUUCAAAAUUCCGGUUCCAUACAAAAUUAAUUAUGUAUGUGGACAUUUCAUCUAUCCCAAAGACCUAGAUGAUCGAUUUUUUUAGAUACCGUUACUGGGAAAACAACAAUUCCAAUUCUAAGACUGUUGUAUAAUAAUUUAAAUAAAAAAAUUACACUUAAAAAAUAUAUAAAACUUAGACGUGAUAUUA